AAGGAAAAACUUUCUGUAUAUCCACUAAUGCUUUCAUCAGUGGAUUUGUAGAAAGUUUUACCAA
rnacentral:pre_miRNA from 1 species